rnacentral:lncRNA from 1 species
UCGCCACAGAGUGUUUUUGGUUAGCACGUGUGUCUAGAGUUUUUGUUUAUUUUCAGUGAAUUGGUGACUUUUUGUGACUUGUUUUUGUUGCUGUGUGUUGUCCUUGUGUGCGUUAUUGUGUGUGUACGUUUUUUCGUCUAGUAGUUGCCGUCCUACUAACCCAACAAGAUCUACAAUCAGUUAAAUUAUUAUUCUUUCCCAAAGUUGUUUGUUUGGCAUCACGACGUGCUUAUCAUUUCACUCGUCAGUGGCAGAAUCGUUGAUAUCGACAUCGACAAUUUGCCAUAACCAAAAAUAGAAUAGAAUAGAAU